AAGAAAGCAAGCACAAGCGGGGGGAGGGGCAGAGAGAGAGGGAGAAGUAGGCUCCCCCCUGAGCAGGGGGCCCUGGAAUCAUGACCUGAGCCAAGGGCAGAUGCUUAAUGGACUUGAGCCCUCCAGGCAUCCUGAGAUGAAUUUAUAUAUGAUUCUCUGUCAAACCUUCUGAUAGAUGUUUUUAACUAAAAAAGAACAAGAAUACUAACAGCCAUCUAGGUAUAUGUUUUAGAAAAUAGUUUGUCCUGUGGAAAAGCAAAUAGAGUGUUGAUUUAAAUUUCCCAAUGAUCAAAGCAUUAAGGUAAUUUGUUUUGAAUAGAGCCAUUGAUGAGAUAUGCCCAUAUAAACAACAAAGCCCGUAAAUGUGGAAUGGACAAAAAAUAAUAAAACCAUCAAAUAAUGUAUUUUCUUUAUACCAACUCUAUCCAUUAAUUUUUUUACAGUUUUCUACCAUGUCAUAUUGCCCUUCAUGAGACGGGGUUGGCAAAAGAAACAACAGGUAGUUAAUGGAAGGAGUACAAAGCUGUGUUCUGCUGGCUCAGGGAGAAGGGAAAAUAGAAUUUAUCUGGGGCUUUCCUGAGCCAGAAGCCAUGGUCUACAGACUUUACAGAGGCAGUUUUGUUAUAGAAAUGGAAGCUGAACUGGAACAUUAACAAUCAGAAUGAAAGAGCAGCAAGCAGAUCUGGAAAACUCGCCAUUGUUUGGUAUGAAAAUCUUAGAAGAACAGCUUUCCGUUAUUUCUACUCUGAUCCUGGCCAGAAACACUUUUUAAAAGUCUGGAUUAUGAGGCAACUCUGGUGGUUCUUAAUGGGAAGAAAAGAAGAUUCAGAGUGUGCAGAGAUCAGAAUUGUCAUGGGAACAAACCUGUCUGAAGAGGAACAGGGUGGAAGAUCCAUGGAUCUCUUUUAUAUCACCGAGGAUAAGAUGUGGGAUGACACGCAAAACAACCAUUUUAACACCUUGGACAAAACACUAUGGGUGAAAAAAGAGAGGGGUGCUUCUUGGACAUAGUGGAUGUUCCUCAGUUAACUUCCUCUGGUUUCUUCUUGUGUUUCAAUGAACACUCAGGAGUAGAUGGGAAAGAAUCAGCUGGGACAUUUUUAGAGCUUUUGGUAAUAGCUAUUUACCACUGGAAAAUUCUCACUUACA